ACAUUGCUGAUCGUACGGCCUUGUGCCGACGACGAGUCUUUCAAGUGUCUGCCUUAUCAACUGUCGAUGGUAGGUUAUGCGCCUACCAUGGUUGUAACGGGUAACGGGGAAUCAGGGUUCGAUUCCGGAGAGGGAGCCUGAGAAACGGCUACCACAUCCAAGGAAGGCAGCAGGCGCGCAAAUUACCCACUCCCGGCACGGGGAGGUAGUGACGAAAAAUAACGAUACGGAACUCAUACGAGGCUCCGUAAUCGGAAUGAGUACACUUUAAAUCCUUUAACGAGGAUCUAUUGGAGGGCAAGUCUGGUGCCAGCAGCCGCGGUAAUUCCAGCUCCAAUAGCGUAUAUUAAAGUUGUUGCGGUUAAAAAGCUCGUAGUUGGAUCUCGGUUUCACUCAGGUGGUACACCUUGCGGUGUUCACUAUCUGGGUGGACGUUUCUGUUGGUUCGCUCUUGGUGCUCUUCAUCGGGUGCCAUUUGGUGGCCAGCACGUUUACUUUGAAAAAAUUGGAGUGCUCAAAGCAGGCGUUACAGCCUGAACAUUAGUGCAUGGAAUAAUGGAAUAGGAUCUCGAUUCUAUUUCGUUGGCUUUCGGAGUCGAGGUAAUGAUUAAUAGGGACAGACGGGGGCAUUCGUACUGCGACGUUAGAGGUGAAAUUCUUGGAUCGUCGCAAGACGAACUACUGCGAAAGCAUUUGCCAAGAAUGUUUUCAUUAAUCAAGAACGAAAGUUAGAGGUUCGAAGGCGAUCAGAUACCGCCCUAGUUCUAACCAUAAACGAUGCCAACCGGCGAUCCGUCGUCGUUAAUUGAAUGACUCGACGGGCAGCCUCCGGGAAACCAGAGUGCUUGGGUUCCGGGGGAAGUAUGGUUGCAAAGCUGAAACUUAAAGGAAUUGACGGAAGGGCACCACCAGGAGUGGAGCCUGCGGCUUAAUUUGACCCAACACGGGAAAUCUCACCAGGCCCGGACACCGGAAGGAUUGACAGAUUGAGAGCUCUUUCUUGAUUCGGUGGGUGGUGGUGCAUGGCCGUUCUUAGUUGGUGGAGCGAUUUGUCUGGUUAAUUCCGAUAACGAACGAGACUCUGGCCUACUAACUAGAAGGUCUAUCCUUUAUGGGUAGGCCUCUGCUUCUUAGAGGGACGGGCGGCGUUUAGCCGCACGAGAAUGAGCAAUAACAGGUCUGUGAUGCCCUUAGAUGUUCUGGGCUGCACGCGCGCUACACUGAAGGAAUCAGCAUGUUCUCCCCUCCCUGAAAAGGGCGGGUAACCCGUUGAAACUCCUUCGUGAUGGGGAUUGGAGAUUGUAAUUAUUCUCCAUGAACGAGGAAUUCCCAGUAGGCGCGAGUCAUCAGCUUGCGUCGAUUACGUCCCUGCCCUUUGUACACACCGCCCGUCGCUACUACCGAUC
rnacentral:rRNA from 1 species